GCCGGGCGUGGUGGCUCAUGCCUGUAAUUCCAGCACUUUGGGAGGCUGAGGCGGGAGGAUCACUUGAGGCCAGGAGUUCGAGACCAGCCUGGCCAACAUGGUGAAACCCCGCCUCUA
ensembl:misc_RNA Metazoa_SRP Metazoan signal recognition particle RNA